rnacentral:rRNA from 1 species
CAAACAGGAUUAGAUACCCUGGUAGUCCUAGCCCUAAACGAUGAUCGCUUGGUGUGACGGGUAUCCAACCCCGCCGUGCCGAAGCUAACGCGUUAAGCGAUCCGCCUGGGGAGUACGGCCGCAAGGCUGAAACUCAAAGGAAUUGACGGGGGCCCGCACAAGCGGUGGAGCAUGUGGUUUAAUUCGACGCAACGCGAAGAACCUUACCUGGGCUCGAAAUGUAGUGGACCGGGGUAGAAAUAUCCCUUCCCCGCAAGGGGCUGCUAUAUAGGUGCUGCAUGGCUGUCGUCAGCUCGUGUCGUGAGAUGUUGGGUUAAGUCCCGCAACGAGCGCAACCCUUAUCUCCAGUUGCCACCAUUUAGUUGGGCACUCUGGCGAAACCGCCUCGGAUAACGGGGAGGAAGGUGGGGAUGACGUCAAGUCCUCAUGGCCUUUAUGUCCAGGGCUACACACGUGCUACAAUGGCCGGUACAAACCGCUGCAAACCCGCGAGGGGGAGCUAAUCGGAAAAAGCCGGCCUCAGUUCGGACUGCAGUCUGCAACUCGACUGCAUGAAGCUGGAAUCGCUAGUAAUCGCGGAUCAGAACGCCGCGGUGAAUACGUUCCCGGGCCUUGUACACACCGCCCGUCAAAUCACGAAAGUGGGUUGCACUAGAAGUCGGUGCGCUGACCGCAAGGGAGCAGCCGCCCAAGGUGUGAUUCAUGAUUGGGGUUAAGUCGUAACAAGGUAACCGUA